GUCAUUGUGAGGUGGGGUCUGAAGGAAGCGUGGAGCAAAGAUACGAGCCGACGGACAGGAACUGGAUAAGUAGGCGCCAAGGCCGGACGAGUUGGCGUGAGACGACGAAGUCCCUAUUCACCAAGGGCCGGAAGCGUAAAUCCAGCGGUUGUGUAUCGAAAGUCAGUAUA
rfam:Nitrosococcus halophilus Nc4, complete genome.